rnacentral:rRNA from 1 species
UAUGUGAUCGUCUCUCGCAUAUCAAUAAGCGGAGGAAAAGAAACUAACAAGGAUUCCCCUAGUAACGGCGAGUGAAGCGGGAAGAGCUCAAAUUUGAAAUCUUAAAGGGUUUCCCUUUACGAAUUGUAGUUUAAAGAAGUGUUUUCUGUUGAGGUUUUGGUAAAAGUUCUUUGGAAUAGGACAUCAUAGAGGGUGAGAAUCCCGUAUUUGACCUUUACUUUCAACUUUGUGAUACACUUUCAGAGAGUCGGAUUGUUUGGGAAUGCAGCCCAAAAUGGGUGGUAAAUUUCAUCUAAAGCUAAAUAUUGGCGAGAGACCGAUAGCGAACAAGUACCGUGAGGGAAAGAUGAAAAGAACUUUGAAAAGAGAGUUAAACAGUACGUGAAAUUGUCAAAAGGGAAGCGUUUGACACCAGUGUUGUUUUUCUGAAAACCAAUUAAAGAACUGUUUAUGCUAAGUUGUUUAGACUUUAUCAGCUAACUGUUUAGUUUUGAGCUUUUCUUUAAUGCACUUUUCAGUUAACAAGUCAACAUCAAUUUCUUUUGCUGUAAAAAAGCUUGAGGAAGGUGGCUUGAGAUUCGUCUUAAGUGUUUAUAGCCUCUUGCCUAUGCAGUCGGAGAGAUUGAGGUCUGCAGCGUAGAUCCUUCGGGGCUAAAUGCAUUUGUGCUAAGUUAUAGCAUUUUAUAGACAACUUGUUGACUAUGAUUUGUCUUGUAGCUUACUCGCUUAUGUUAUUUUACCUACGCUUAGGAUGUUGACACACGCGCGUGCUCG